AUGAAUACAUCAAGGAAAACUGUCGACACUCAUGUGUUGGUAAAGCAACAAUUUGUUUGCAACAAGUUUCAGAAACCUAUAGAGAAUGAUGGAGGUGCAGAAAAGCCCCCUGUCCUAGACAUAAUUGUUGAUCGGGCAGAUCAUGUUGACGAGGAUGAUGAUAUUGUCUUUCUUGGUGAUGAAAGUAAGUUAAAAAAGAAAAUCAAGAAACUAAAGCGAGAUAAAAUAUUGCAAACCGGUUGCAAGGUCAAGAUGGUGGUGAAACUAAUAGAUGGUCGUUGGGAGGUGAUAUACUUUGUUGCUGAGCACAACCAUAAGUUGGUAGAGAAGCCAUCUUUGAAGAAGUACUUGCGAUCACACCAAGGGAUACCUCCAGAAGAAAAGGCAUUCCCAACACAUCUUCACAACUACAAUUUAACUACAGUGCUUGUCUGCUGA
rnacentral:rRNA from 1 species